GAUUAUGGCUCAGGAUGAACGCUAGCUACAGGCUUAACACAUGCAAGUCGAGGGGCAGCAUGAUCAAAGCUUGCUUUGAUUGAUGGCGACCGGCGCACGGGUGAGUAACGCGUAUCCAACCUUCCCCUUAGUAGGGCAUAGCCCGUAGAAAUGCGGAUUAAUACCCUAUGUUGUUCAAUGCGGACAUCUAAGUUGAACCAAAGGUUUACCGCUAAGGGAUGGGGAUGCGUCCGAUUAGGCAGCAGGCGGGGUAACGGCCCACCUGGCCGACGAUCGGUAGGGGUUCUGAGAGGAAGGUCCCCCACAUUGGAACUGAGACACGGUCCAAACUCCUACGGGAGGCAGCAGUGAGGAAUAUUGGUCAAUGGGCGAGAGCCUGAACCAGCCAAGUAGCGUGCAGGAUGACGGCCCUAUGGGUUGUAAACUGCUUUUAUGCGGGGAUAAAGUGCGGCACGUGUGCCGUUUUGUAGGUACCGCAUGAAUAAGGACCGGCUAAUUCCGUGCCAGCCGCGGC
rnacentral:rRNA from 1 species